UACGUAGGUGGCAAGCGUUGUCCGGAUUUACUGGGCGUAAAGAGCGCGCAGGCGGUCGUUCAAGUCGCGUGUGAAAGCCCCCGGCUCAACUGGGGAGGGUCACGCGAUACUGAUCGACUCGAAGGCAGGAGAGGGAAGUGGAAUUCCCGGUGUAGUGGUGAAAUGCGUAGAUAUCGGGAGGAACACCAGUGGCGAAGGCGGCCUGCUGGGCAGUAGCUGACACUGAGGCGCGACAGCGUGGGGAGCAAACAGG
rnacentral:rRNA from 1 species